rnacentral:lncRNA from 1 species
CAUGUGUCACAUGGCAAGAGAGAGGGAACGAGAUGGAGAAGUAGGAGUGCCACACUUUUAAAUAACCAGAUUUUGGUGAAUUCAGAACAAAAACUCAUUCAUUACUUUGAAGAGAGCCCCAAUCCAUUCAUGAGGGAUCUGCCUCCAUGACCCAAACACCUCCUACCAGGCCCCAUCUCCACCAUGGGGGAAUCACAUUUCAAUAUGAGGUUUGGAGGGACAAGCAUCCAAAGUAUGUUAUCACCCGUCAUCUUGUUUUUCAUAAUUUUUUUUUCCCAUAAGUAACACUGGUACUUUUUUCAUAUAGGAUUUCCGGGAAAAAAAUACAGAUCAUAUGCGCCCAGACAUUGUAGCUCUUCUGAGAAGCAGCAAGAAUGCAUUUAUCUCUGGGAUGAUUGGAAUUGAUCCUGUAGCUGUUUUCCGAUGGGCAAUUCUCCGAGCUUUUUUCAGAGCCAUGGUUGCUUUCAGGGAAGCUGGGAAAAGAAACAUUCACAGAAAAACUGGACAUGAUGAUACAGCGCCAUGUGCAAUUUUGAAAAGUAUGGAUAGUUUUAGCUUUCUCCAACACCCAGUCCACCAGAGGAGCUUAGAGAUUCUGCAGAGAUGCAAGGAAGAGAAGUACAGUAAGGCUACAAAUCCUGAUAAACUGUUAUCACAUAUCCAUUUGG